rnacentral:rRNA from 1 species
UAGGGAAUCUUCGGCAAUGGACGAACGUCUGACCGAGCAACGCCGCGUGAGUGAAGAAGGUUUUCGGAUCGUAAAACUCUGUUGGUAGAGAAGAACGUUGGUGAGAGUGGAAAGCUCAUCAAGUGACGGUAACUACCCAGAAAGGGACGGCUAACUACGUGCCUG